rnacentral:rRNA from 1 species
CGACGGGUAGCCGGCCUGAGAGGGUGACCGGCCACACUGGGACUGAGACACGGCCCAUGACUCCUACGGGAGGCAGCAGUGGGGAAUAUUGCACAAUGGGCGAAAGCCUGAUGCAGCAACGCCGCGUGAGGGACGACGGCCUUCGGGUUGUAAACCUCUUUUAGCAGGGAAGAAGCGAAAGUGACGGUACCUGCAGAAAAAGCACCGGCUAACUACGUGCCAGCAGCCGCGGUAAUACGUAGGGUGCAAGCGUUGUCCGGAAUUAUUGGGCGUAAAGAGCUCGUAGGCGGUUUGUCGCGUCUGCUGUGAAAACGCGAGGCUCAACCUCGCGCCUGCAGUGGGUACGGGCAAACUAGAGUGCGGUAGGGGAGAUUGGAAUUCCUGGUGUAGCGGUGGAAUGCGCAGAUAUCAGGAGGAACACCGAUGGCGAAGGCAGAUCUCUGGGCCGUAACUGACGCUGAGGAGCGAAAGCAUGGGGAGCGAACAGGAUUAGAUACCCUGGUAGUCCAUGCCGUAAACGUUGGGAACUAGAUGUAGGGACCAUUCCACGGUUUCUGUGUCGCAGCUAACGCAUUAAGUUCCCCGCCUGGGGAGUACGG